CCAAAGGCUCUUUUCAGAGCCACUUAAUUCAUAAAAGAAAGAGCUUG
rfam:Pteropus alecto contig104230, whole genome shotgun sequence.